rnacentral:rRNA from 1 species
CAGUAGCCGCGGUAAUACGAAGGGUGCAAGCGUUACUCGGAAUUACUGGGCGUAAAGCGUGCGUAGGUGGUGGUUUAAGUCCGUUGUGAAAGCCCUGGGCUCAACCUGGGAAUUGCAGUGGAUACUGGGUCACUAGAGUGUGGUAGAGGAUAGUGGAAUUUCCGGUGUAGCAGUGAAAUGCGUAGAGAUCGGAAGGAACAUCUGUGGCGAAGGCGACUGACUGGACAAGUAUUGACGCUGAGGUGCAAAAGCGUGGGGAGCAAACAGGAUUAGAUACCCCUGUAGUCCCUGUCUCUUAUAC